rnacentral:rRNA from 1 species
CCUACGGGAGGCAGCAGUGGGGAAUAUUGCACAAUGGGGGAAACCCUGAAGCAGCGACGCCGCGUGAGGGAUGAAGUAUUUCGGUAUGUAAAGCUCUAUUUGUAGGGAAGAAAAUGACGGUACCUGACUAAGAAGCCCCGGCUAACGACGUGCCAGCAGCCGCGGUAAUACGUAGGGGGCAAGCGUUAUCCGGAUUUACUGGGUGUAAAGGGGGCGUAGGCGGCUAAGCAAGUCAGAAGUGAAAGCCUAGGGCUCAACCUUGGGACUGCUUUUGAAACUGGGUAGCUAGAGUUCAGGAGAGGUAGGCGGAAUGCGUGGUGGAGCGGUGAAAUGCGUAGAUAUUAGGAGGAACACCAGUGGCGAAGGCGGCUUACUGGACUAUAACUGACGCUGAGGCUCGAAAGCGUGGGGAGCAAACAGGAUUAGAUACCCGAGUAGUC